AUGAGACUUAUUGGUCAUCUUGGACCACUUGAUUGCACACAUGUUAGGGAUAGUGCUUUCAUUCAUGAUUUCCACAUUGCUAUGCCCCAUGACAUAUAUGCCUUGUGUGUUGCAUCCAAGUUGUUCAUUAUUUUCUCCUAUCAUAUGUUUGGUUACAACAAUGUCAUUUCUUCACAUAUGCCAUGUCCCAUUGCUUGCUACAUGAUUGACUUGAUUGCCUCACACAUGAUGAACAAUUGCUCUUUCCAUUGUGUUGAGUGCCACGACAUCUUCACUACACCCUAUGCACAUUAUGCUUGGAUUGUCUUGCACUUGCCCCAUGUGUUUAGACAUAUCAUUAUAUUUGGUGUUGUGGAUGAUUAUUAUGCCUACCAUAGACCUUUUGUUGAGCACUUUAUGCAUGUUUUCUAUGAUCACGAGGUAGAUGCUUGUUUACUUGUCACACAUAUUUGCAUCUCGACCUCCCAUUUGCAUGCUUGUUUCCAUGAUGUCCUUGAUUGUGCUCAAUUUAUAUGCUUAAAUGCCAUGCCACACUUCUUUGUCAAACCAUAUGCUAUGCUUGAUGACAACACUUGUUGGGUGAAUCACCUCUUGAAUGCUUGGUUUUGCAAUAACGCCAAUCACAUUUGUUUUUCCAAGUGCUUGUUAUCUUUGCUCCUUUCGAAGCAAUUACAAGACAGUGCGACAUUGGAGGGUGCCCAUUUGGAACUACAAGAUAAUGAAUGCUUGGUGAUCAUCCACUUCUACACGGUGACAUCAUCUCUUUCCCAUGGUGAUUUGGAUUUCGAUCUGAGGUUGGAUCUUUCCCAAGGGGGAGGGGAUGAUGCGGAGCAACAUAUGGACAUCACCAUGUCAAGAUUCCAUUUGGCAAGUGACACAUGCGACAUCUAA
rnacentral:rRNA from 1 species